ensembl:lncRNA
AGAGAGAGAGAGAGAGAGAGAGAGAGAGAGAGAGAGAGAGAGAGAGAGAGACAGAUAGAUAGAUAAAGAGUGAGCGAGAAAGAGUGAGCGAGAGGGAAUGAGUGAGUGAGUGAAUCAGUGAGUGAGGGAGCGAGAGAGGCAGAGAGAGAGAAAGGAAGACCGCGCGAGCGAUGGAGAGAGAGUGAGAAAGAGUGAGAGAAGGCUCAGUACCACGGUCGUAAGCGGGCCUGGCUCUGUCCACGCGUGUCACAACGUAACAAAAUGCCUGAUUAUUUCUGGCGACCGACGGCCUGUGAACUGUCGACUAGUGGAAGAGUCGCCGAUACAUCAGCCUGGAAUAACACAGAACCUGUCCGCAAAACCCACAGAUAAUGAACAGAUAACGACCUGGCCUGUCUGCUGCUCUUACUAAUUAAUGAGGCUGGGUACUUAUUUUAUAAUCGAUGAGUCAUACGUACAUUUCUGUACUCGCGCGGCUACCUCUGAGCAGCCUUCUUCCAUCUACAGCUGCUAAUUAGCAGAAUGAGUGGGUGUUUGUGUGUUUGUGUGUGUGCGUGCAGCAUUGUGUGGCUAUGUGUGAGAUCUAAUUAGUCGAUCGAUACUUGGGGGAAGGCCAUCAGAUUGUACGUCUACGUCGAAAAGCCACAGCAGUUUGCACGCACGUGCGUGCGUGCGUGCGUUUGUGUGUGUCUCUGCGUAUGUGAUUCCGAUCACAGUCACUCGGCCAAAGUCUCUUAUCCUGAAAACAUCGGGACGCUUCAUCCUUCUGGUGGAAAACAAUCACACUCAGAGCACUAAGGGCUGUGACCCUGUGUUUCCACCGGCGUGGCUGGUGUUGACGGGGCUGAGUGGAGGAGUUGGAGGGGACGGACAAAGCAGCGAGCCACGGAAAGGAAGCAUGACAGAUGCGGUCCAAGAGGACAUCCCGUGCAUCCGUAGCGCGUUGGGAGCCAGCGGGAUCUGCAGUGUCACGCUCUACACUGCGAUAGCAGAGCAGGGCUUUAAACCGGAGUCACACUCGAAUGGACUUUGUAACGAGAGACAAUUAAGCAUUUAAAGAAACUCCCCCAAUCGUCUGAUCCCUGAAACAUCAUGUGUGUGCGUGUGUGUCUUACGGCGUCGUAUGUCUCCUGCUGUGUGUGUGUCGUGCUGAAGUGAUCCAGGACUUCCUGGUGGUCGCUGUGAUUGACGCUGCUCCCGUUGACCUUCAGGAUCACCUGACCUGGCUGGAGCCCCGCCCCCGCCGCCUCGGAGCCUGCCAAGGGUCAUCACAGAGGUCAAGAGGUCAGAAGAACUCAAGACUGUUUACCGUAAAUAUAGAGCAGUGGCCUGCCUGUGUGUGUGUGCGUGCGUGCGUGCAUGUGUGUGCGUGUACCUCUGUGUGCGCGUGUGCGUGUGCGUGUGUGUGUGUGUGGGAAGGACAGGAAAGUAACAGUGAUUGCAUUCUGAAGGGUUCGUGACCCGUGUCAAGCGAAAGCAGAUCAGGCCUGCUAAAAUGACGCCUCGCUAGUAAACAGGGUUCAGUUUGACGCUCUAAGCUCCGCCCACACAAAGCCACGAAGGAGACAGAGUUAUUAAAUAUGUCUGGAACCUGCACAGCACUUUCAUAGUCUGGAAAAACAACUGGCUAGCAGGUGUGUGAGGGAGGGAGAGAGGGAGGGAGUUGGAGAAAAACAGAAGCAAGAGCGAGCCUGGGAGAGAGAGAGAGUGAGAGAGAGAAAUAGAACGAGCGAAGGAUUGCAGAGAACGAGGGAAGAGAGAGAGAACGAGGGAAGAGAGAGAGAGAGAGAGAGAGAGAGAGAGAGAGAGAGAGAG